AUUUUAGUCUUAUUAGAGGAACCUGUUUAUUAAUUGAUAAUCCACGAUUAAUUUUACUUAUUUUAAUAAUUCAUAUAUCGCUGUCAUGAAUAUAUUUAAAAAUUUAUUUUCUUUAUUUAUUUUUAUAAUUUAUGUUAAGUCAAGAUGUGGUUUAUAAAUAAGUAUAUAAUGGGUUACAUUAAAUUUUAUUUUUGGAUUUAAAAUGAAAAUUAAAAUGAAAUUGGAUUUAAUAGUAAAUUUAUUUAUUUAAUUAAUAUGAAGAAAGAUCUAAAAUAUGUACAUAUUGCCCGUCAUUCUUAUUAAAAAUAAGACAAGUCGUAACAAAGUAAAUGUACUGGAAAGUGUAUUUAGAAAGUAAAUAAAUAUCUAAA
rnacentral:rRNA from 1 species